rnacentral:tRNA from 1 species
UCCCUCGAGGACUAGUGGUUAGGCCACAGUGCUCUCACCGCUGCAGCCGAGGUUCGAUUCCUGGCCACAGAA